rnacentral:rRNA from 1 species
GAUGAACGCUGGCGGCGUGCCUAAUACAUGCAAGUCGAGCGAAUGGAUUAAGAGCUUGCUCUUAUGAAGUUAGCGGCGGACGGGUGAGUAACACGUGGGUAACCUGCCCAUAAGACUGGGAUAACUCCGGGAAACCGGGGCUAAUACCGGAUAAUAUUUUGAACUGCAUGGUUCAAAAUUGAAAGGCGGCUUCGGCUGUCACUUAUGGAUGGACCCGCGUCGCAUUAGGUAGUUGGUGAGGUAACGGCUUACCAAGGCAACGAUGCGUAGCCGACCUGAGAGGGUGAGCGGCCAAACUGGGACUGAGACACGGCCCAGACUCCUACGGGAGGCAGCAGUAGGGAAUCUUCCGCAAUGGACGAAAGUCUGACGGAGCAACGCCGGGUGAGUGAUGAAGGCUUUCGGGUCGUAAAACUCUGUUGUUAGGGAAGAACAAGUGCUAGUUGAAUAAGCUGGCACCUUGACGGUACCUAACCAGAAAGCCACGGCUAACUACGUGCCAGCAGCCGCCGUAA